CUGUGCCUAGGAGCCACCCAGCACCCUGGCUGUCGUCCGAAGGAGCAGGAGAGUGAGGAAGAAAAGAAACUUUUCUCCUGAAGUGGAAAUUGUGGUGAAGGGGAGAAAAGUGAGCAGGAGGGAUCGCGCAGCCGGGCGAGGGCAGGUUAAAGGAGCAGCUGGCUUGGAGUCCGGGAAAGGACACGGAUUCUGCUGCAACCUCUGCAGCUCUCCUUACAUAGUCGAUCCCAGCCACACAGGCAACCAGCUGAACACCUCUGGCUCUCUGCCUUCUCCGUGCCACAAACGGGAUCCCAGGACAGGACAGGUGCUGACGCUCUGCAACGCAUGUGGAUAUCCCCCUUAGGUCUGAUGGGCCUUGG